UACGGAGGGUGCAAGCGUUAUCCGGAUUUACUGGGUUUAAAGGGUGUGUAGGCGGGCUAUUAAGUCAGUGGUGAAAUCUCCGGGCUCAACCCGGAAACUGCCAUUGAUACUAUUAGUCUUGAAUUUUGUUGAGGUAGGCGGAAUAAGUCAUGUAGCGGUGAAAUGCAUAGAUAUGACUUAGAACACCAAUUGCGAAGGCAGCUUACUAAACAAAUAUUGACGCUGAGGCACGAAAGCGUGGGGAUCAAAACAGG
rnacentral:rRNA from 1 species